rnacentral:rRNA from 1 species
UACGAAGGGGGCUAGCGUUGUUCGGAAUCACUGGGCGUAAAGCGCACGCAGGCGGAUCGUUAAGUCAGGGGUGAAAUCCCGAGGCUCAACCUCGGAACUGCCUUUGAUACUGGCGAUCUUUGAGUCCGGGAGAGGUGAGUGGAACUCCGAGUGUAGAGGUGAAAUUCGUAGAUAUUCGGAAGAACACCAGUGGCGAAGGCGGCUCACUGGCCCGGUACUGACGCUCAGGUGCGAAAGCGUGGGUAGCGAACAGG